AGGAAGUGUACUGAUUGCCAGUACACCCCACCCUCAUUACGUCCGUCACCGGGACUUGGAGCCAAGGGUUAAUAGAGCAAGCUAUGACAUGGGUGUGCUCUGCUGAAACCCAAUAGUUGAAUUUGGCUGUUGUUGCAGGAAAACGAUGGCAAUCAACAGGUCUUUGAUGGUGGUAGAACAUAUCAGAACACAUAAGGAACUGUAGUCGAGAUAUAUUUCAAUUCAGAUGUUACUGCUUCGUAACUAUGAAGAGUAGUGCCAAUUCACAGAGCACUGUCAAUGGCUGACAGCAAAACAUAAUCUGCUCUGCAGAAAGAGUUGACUGCCAUUACGAGGUCAAGAGAAUGAACAGAAAAUGGCACCAGGAACAGAAAGAGCUGUGGGAGACACCCAUACCUGUAUAUACAUGCCCCAGAAAGCUGUAAUGUGAACAUCAUGUUUCCUAUUUAAGAACCUUCCUAGGGCACUGUGUCUGGACAGACUGUGAGAGGAAGUCAUUCUCCUAAGAUACUUGUCACUGCCUUUACCUGCACUUGAGCUGAAUGGUACUCCGUGUGUUAAUAAUUGUUCUGGUAAAUCAUACAGUGAAAAUAAAAUGACGUAACAUCUUGUAUACUG
rnacentral:lncRNA from 1 species